GACGAACGCUGGCGGCGUGCUUAACACAUGCAAGUCGAGCGGUAAGGCCCUUUCGGGGGUACACGAGCGGCGAACGGGUGAGUAACACGUGGGUGACCUGCCCUUAGCUCUGGGAUAAGCCUGGGAAACUGGGUCUAAUACCGGAUAUGACUCCAUGACGCAUGUUGUGGGGUGGAAAGCCUUGUGCGGCUAGGGGAUGGGCCCGCGGCCUAUCAGCUUGUUGGUGGGGUGAUGGCCUACCAAGGCGACGACGGGUAGCCGGCCUGAGAGGGCGACCGGCCACACUGGGACUGAGACACGGCCCAGACUCCUACGGGAGGCAGCAGUGGGGAAUCUUGCGCAAUGGGCGAAAGCCUGACGCAGCGACGCCGCGUGAGGGAUGACGGCCUCGGUUGUAA
rnacentral:rRNA from 1 species